UAAAUCCUUUUCAUAAACAUCUAACCUCGAAUGCUUGGGAUUAGGCUCGAUUGAUUGAAUUACUGAGAGUUAGUAUCCUCAAAGUAAUGCCUAAAUAUUUCGUCCACCCCAUAUUUUAAACAAAAACUGUUUGGAAAAUGCAAAUCUUACACGCACACCUACCACCCAUACCCUGGUCCACAUAACAUACUUCUGAAUGGAUUACGAGAGAUUUAUUUCACCAGGCUGUGCAUAAAUGUAUACGGUGCCUUCUAGGCUACUAAACUUUUAGACUCUGAAAGAUAGAGUAGUUAAGAUCUUAAAACAGUGAUGUAGCCAAAUUUGAAUUUAUCCAAUUUCUUAGAAAUAUUUUGAAUGGUGAGGAUGCAAAAGCUAAAGUUGGAGAUGGUAACUUAAGUCGGCACAAUUAUAAGUUCAUAACUAAAUUGAUUUUUACAUCUAACUUCUCCCAUACAUCAAAGUUCCUUUUUGAUCAUGCCACCUAUUUAAUAAAUGCACGAGUCACAAAUUUUGCUAAGGAAAAAUCUGCCACGUGAUGUUCUUAUCCAAAAUAUUUUAGAUAAUUAUCAAUUACCCGCAUAAUUAAGAAUUAUCUCAAAUUACUUAAAAUACUACUCUUUUUUAAUACAUUUUAUAUAUCUUACUAUAAGAUACUUUACUAUCAUGGUCAUGGGGUACUAUAUAAAAUUAAUACAUACACUAUUAUUUCAUUAAAACAUCUAUGUAAAAUUACAUAUAUUUUCUCAACUUCUAAUUUUCCUAAUUUCAUAUAAAGAGUACAAAUUCUUGUACGCUUAAAUUCUUAAAAUAGUAAAAAGAUAACCUUCUUUUCUAGUGAGAAAAUAAUUUAUAUAUUUACAAUAAAGACAAUAUCAUAAACUUUCUAAUAUUAUGUGUAUAGUUUAAAGCAUAUUCGGAAUUAAUAAUAUUAAUAACUAUAUAUAAAAUCAUAUUUUUCAAACUUAAUACAAAAAUAUUUCACUCAAAAUACCAUAUCAAAUGUAUGUAACGGUAUCAAUGUUGUUAAACUUACGGGGUCUUAUAAUAAUAUAGUCACAACUCCUUUAUAAUCUCAUGAAUGGUCUUAAUCCUUUCAAGCUUAUAUGGAUUACUACGACUUAUCCUAAUAUUAAAGUACGGGAUGUAACAUCCUUCCCCCCCUUUAGAAUAUUCGUCCUCGAAUGUUAACUCUUAGAGAUUUACAAAAUUUUUAUUAGGGUCUCCUCUGUAAACUAAUCUAAACCCUAAACUAUAUUUGAAGUCUUGACUAUUCACAACCUUUUGUAAUUGAGUAUCUCGUACCUUCUUCACCUUUACUUUACCUUACUUAUUUUUCAAUCUCGCAUCGUAUCUUCUGUUUCUUUAAUAACCUCCCUUCUACAUAGGUGAAAAUUACGCCUUAAAGCUCUAUUGUGAUACCUGCACCUCUGGUGCAUACAAAAUCUGGUGAAAGCUUUAUACUGACUUCUUACGACUCAGCUCUAUGGCACGAUUUGGAAACAAAAGAAGGGUAACAUUUCCUAAAUGCCCUAUAGCCUCUCAAUUAUAAAUGUGGUGCGCAACACAUCCAUAAGUGAGACUCUACUAGGCAUGGCUUUAUAGACUACCUAGGACACGAUCUGCUCUGAUACCACUUUGUCACGCCUCAAACCUAGGGAGGCGUGGCUGGCACCCGGUGCCGCACUGGCCCGAGCGAACCACUCUGUAACUCAUAAUCAUUCGACCAAAAUUAGAGCAUACAUAGGUCGAGUUGGAUGAACUCAUUCCUGUAGUAACUAUCAUGGGCCAACAUGGCCACAACUCAUAAUGUAUAUCUAUAAGUGGGCAACACGGUAUCACUGAAUCAUUUUUCUAUAAACAUGACUACGUAUGGGCCGUCAAGGCCUCUGACAUAUUGUACAAAAUUAACCUCUGUCUACAAAGUCUCUAAAAGUAUUAAACAUCAAAUAAGACAGGGUACCGGCCUACCCAUAAGUCUUUAGCAAAACUCUAACACGAUGACUCAUAAACUUGGAUNNNNNNNNNNNNNNNNNNNNNCCUGCAGGCAUGAAUGCAAUGUCCCCAAUAAAAGGACGUUAGUACGAAUAAUAUAUUGAGUAUGUAAGGCGAAAUUGAAGCAUAAUAAUAAGCCAUCAUUAAUUAAAGACAUAUAAGAAUCAACCUGAAUCUCUGAAGUGCCACCGUAUAUGCAUACUUAUUAUACUUACAUUUAUAAUGCUUCUCUUUGAGACUAUUUCUAUUAUCCAUAUCGUAUGAUGCAUGACUGUCCAACUGAUCAGUGGUAACUGCCCGACUGGCCAUAUCUCGAUGGUAAAUACAUAACUGCCCAACCGGUGGUAAAUAAUAAUACAUAACUGCCCAACCGGUGGUAACUGGAUGACCUGCCGUAGCUCGGUGGUAGAUGUAUAACUGCCCAACCGGCCGUAACUCGAUGGUAAAUGAAUUUAUAUGUCUGCCCAACCGGUGGUAAAUAAUGAUACAUAACUGUCCAACCGAUGGUAACUGCCCGACAGUCCGUAGCACAGUGGUAAAUAAAUAUGCAUGAAGAUGCAUGUAUUACCAUAUUAUAAACAUUAACAUCUCUAUCAUAUGCCUCAAUAGGGACUAGAUACAUACUUAGACAUGCUUGAAUAUCACUUUACCGGAAUGAAUAACAUAGACAUCCUUAACUGCUAAGAGUAGAACCACUUAUGGAAUAGCAUUACGUUUACGUAUCGUUACUUGGAUCAUGCCAAAAGAAAAGAAGGGAUGACCUUAACAUACCUCAAUUUCACUCUUUUGAUGACUACGACUAGUAAAUCCUUUUCAUAAACAUCUAACCUCGAAUGCUUGGGAUUAGGCUCGAUUGAUUGAAUUACUGAUAGCUGUAUCCUCAAAGUAAUGCCUAAAUAUUUCGUCCACCCCAUAUUCUAAACAAAAACUGUUUGGAAAAUACAAACCUUACACGCACACCUACUACCCAUACCUUGGUCCACAUAACAUACUUCUGAAUGGAUUACGAGAGAUUUAUUUCACUAGGCUGUGCACAAAUGUAUAUGGUGCCUUCUAGGCUACUAAACUUUUAGAGGCUGAAAGAUAGACUAGUUAAGCUCUUAAAACAGUGAUGUAGCCAGAUUUGAA
rnacentral:lncRNA from 1 species